rnacentral:rRNA from 1 species
GGGGAAUUUUCCGCAAUGGGCGAAAGCCUGACGGAGCAAUACCGCGUGAGGGAGGAAGGCUUUUGGGUUGUAAACCUCUUUUAAUAAGGAAGAAGAAAGUGACGGUACUUAUUGAAUAAGCAUCGGCUAACUCCGUGCCAGCAGCCGCGGUAAGACGGAGGAGGCAAGCGUUAUCCGGAAUUAUUGGGCGUAAAGCGUCCGCAGGCGGCUUUUUAAGUCUGUUGUUAAAGCCCACAGCUCAACUGUGGAUCGGCAAUGGAAACUGGGAGGCUAGAGUGUGGUAGGGGUAGAGGGAAUUCCUAGUGUAGCGGUGAAAUGCGUAGAUAUUAGGAAGAACACCAGUGGCGAAGGCGCUCUACUGGGCCAUAACUGACACUGAUGGACGAAAGCUAGGGGAGCGAAAGGGAUUAGAUACCCCAGUAGUC